UCUCUCUUAUCUUUCUCUCACCGCCUCCGUCCAAUUUCGAAUCCUCUUGCACGAACCAAACGGAGCUCCGACCAUGGCGGCGGCCACAGGCUUUCUCACCGCACUUUCUGUCGGCGAUCUAGCGUCCCCUAUCACGCUGCCACGCCGUGCCGCGCUCAUCCCGGGAAGGUGGGCUGCCGCGGGGGCUCUCCGCGUGGCAGCGGAGGCGGGGACGGAUGAGGCAGAGAAGAAGAAGAAGCAGAGGGGCAUCACCAAGCCCAGGCCAGUGUCGCCUCAACUCCAGGCGGUGGUUGGCGAGGUGUAGAUCCCCCGGACUCAAGCGCUCAAGAAGAUUUGGGCUUAUAUCAAGGAGAACAAUCUUCAGGUUUAUGUUGGUGCUUAAUUAUUUUUAAGAUCACAAUGAUGAUAAGUUGUGGCAUGAGCCCCUUUGGCAUCUGCAAACCGGGUUCAAUGCGGCCUGGGCUAUUGGCGGCAAGGAUUAAUGUGCCAAAAUGCUAAUCUGAGAUCAUAUUGCACCAAAGAAUUUUAUUCUCUCAUAUCUCCAGAUACCUUUCUCCCAAUCUUGAAUUGUAGAUUACUUAAGUGUUAUCAAACAAUUUUAUUGUUCAUUGAUCUGUACAACUUUAUUGAAAUCUACCAUUUUCAGGCUUGUCUUGAUCUGUCUGAUCCAUGGACAGUUUGAGGAACCACAGUUGCAUGACCAAAGAGGUGAUAUUUUAGUAAUCUCACUUGGUGGCAAAAACACUUGGAUGGUUGAAAUAGUGUACACAGUUGGCCAACCAAGCAGCUGGAUCAAGUGAAGUCUUAAUUGUAUCAAGUGAAGUCUUAAUUGUGAUGGAGGAUUUGUGAUGUUUCCCAUUCUUUGGAAAGCUGCUCUUUUGAUCAAGUGAAGUCCGGGCCAGCACAUUGAUUUGCAGGGUCAAUAUGAAUGUUCGGACUUCAGGUUUGGUUUCAAUAGUGUUGAAAAUCGGCGGCUCUUUCAGUGCACUUGGGUUGAUAUAUACGUACUUUUGAACUUGUCUGCCACAAUGAGUUUAUCGUUUCCUUUAGGAAUUUUCCAGUUGAGAUUG